GCUGACGACCGGCGCACGGGUGAGUAACGCGUAUGCAACCUGCCUAUAACUGGGGAAUAGCUCCCUGAAAGGGGAAUUAACACCGCAUAACACUAUUGAUUCGCAUGGAUUGGUAGUUAAAUGUAGCGAUACAGGUUAUAGAUGGGCAUGCGUGACAUUAGCUAGUUGGUGAGGUAACGGCUCACCAAGGCUACGAUGUCUAGGGGUUCUGAGAGGAAGGUCCCCCACACUGGUACUGAGACACGGACCAGACUCCUACGGGAGGCAGCAGUGAGGAAUAUUGGUCAAUGGGCGCAAGCCUGAACCAGCCAUGUCGCGUGCAGGAAGACUGCCCUAUGGGUUGUAAACUGCUUUUAUAGUAGAAGAAACACAUCUACGUGUAGAUGUCUGCCAGUAUACUAUGAAUAAGCAUCGGCUAACUCCGUGCCAGCCGCUGC
rnacentral:rRNA from 1 species